AGCCCUUACACAGCCUGGAGGUGUGUUUGGGGUCAUUGUCUUGUUGAAAAAUAAAUGAUGGUCCAACUAAACGCAAACCGGAUUGAAUAGCAUGCCGCUGCAAGAUGCUGUGGUAGCCAUGCUGGUUCAGUAUGCCUUCAAUUUUGAAUAAAUCCCCAACAGUAUCACCGGCGAAGCCUCAAAUCA